rnacentral:rRNA from 1 species
UACGUAGGGGGCUAGCGUUGUCCGGAAUCAUUGGGCGUAAAGCGCGUGUAGGCGGUCCGGUAAGUCCGCUGUGAAAGUCGGGGGCUCAACCCUCGGAUGCCGGUGGAUACUGUCGGGCUUGAGUACGGAAGAGGCGAGUGGAAUUCCUGGUGUAGCGGUGAAAUGCGUAGAUAUCACUUGGAACGCCAACGGUGAAAACAGCUCGCUGGGGAUGUGCUGACGCUGAGACACGAAAGCCAGGGGAGCGAACGGG